rnacentral:rRNA from 1 species
CCUACGGGAGGCUGCAGUGGGGAAUAUUGGACAAUGGGGGCAACCCUGAUCCAGCCAUGCCGCGUGUGUGAAGAAGGCCCUCGGGUUGUAAAGCACUUUCAGUGGGGAAGAACGCCUGGUGGUUAAUACCCAUCAGGAAAGACAUCACUCACAGAAGAAGCACCGGCUAACUCCGUGCCAGCAGCCGCGGUAAUACGGAGGGUGCGAGCGUUAAUCGGAAUUACUGGGCGUAAAGCGCGCGUAGGUGGCUUGAUAAGCCGGUUGUGAAAGCCCCGGGCUCAACCUGGGAACGGCAUCCGGAACUGUCAAGCUAGAGUGCAGGAGAGGAAGGUAGAAUUCCCGGUGUAGCGGUGAAAUGCGUAGAGAUCGGGAGGAAUACCAGUGGCGAAGGCGGCCUUCUGGACUGACACUGACACUGAGGUGCGAAAGCGUGGGUAGCAAACAGGAUUAGAUACCCUAGUAGUC